rnacentral:lncRNA from 1 species
GGAAAAAGAGGGGGGCGGCCAGAAGAGGGAAGGAGAGGCGUGGGGACAGGGCCCCCGCCCCCGCCGGGGUCGGGUUUGAUGGUGAAAUAGUAAACCCACGCACGGAGGGUCGCCAGGAAAGUGGACAUUACCGCUUUAAUUAACUUCGAGAUGCUCCGGCGGCGGGACCUGGCGUAGCCGUGACGCGCCCCCAUAAAUCUGCCCGGCCCGGGGCUGCUCCGAGAACUCGUACAGUAGCGGCGUCAGAUCCAUCCCGCGCCUCCCAGUCCGGAGUCCAUUUGCAUAAUUGGAUUUUUUUUUUUUGCCUCCUUCUUUCUCCCUGAAACUUGUUUGAAAACCCAAGUGAAAACCGCGACGAUCUGCACACUCAAAAGCAAGUGCCAAUUCCUGACCACCACGGCUUUAAGAAUAUCCUUCAACCGGGAGGGAGAUCCAUUGCUUUAAGACUUGCCUGAGAUGAGUAUUUGAUGCUACCUUCCAGACUGACAGUGUCCAGGAAAGCAGCUGCAGUGGAGGUGGAAGGGCAGUAGGAUUCCCUGAUUGAACCGGCCCUGUGGAGGUACAGACUGGGCACCUUCGGCCGCAGUGCAUGCAGUGGCUGCAGCCAGCCUCGUUAUGGAAAAGAAUUGCCCAGUGGGUUGAGGGAAUGGGCAACAGCACACUAGAAUCAUGAGGCUGAAAGGAAUAUUGCCGACUGGAGGUCAUUUUUCCCAACUGAGGGGCAAUAGUUUGCCACUAUAAACUGCACAUUGCAGUCAGUAUAUGUUUUAUUAAACCAUUUAAGGAA